GUGGGGAAUCUUGCGCAAUGGGCGAAAGCCUGACGCAGCCAUGCCGCGUGAAUGAUGAAGGUCUUAGGAUUGUAAAAUUCUUUCACCGGGGACGAUAAUGACGGUACCCGGAGAAGAAGCCCCGGCUAACUUCGUGCCAGCAGCCGCGGUAAUACGAAGGGGGCUAGCGUUGCUCGGAAUUACUGGGCGUAAAGGGCGCGUAGGCGGACAGUUUAGUCAGAGGUGAAAGCCCAGGGCUCAACCUCGGAACUGCCUUUGAUACUGGGUGUCUUGAGUAUGAGAGAGGUGUGUGGAACGCCGAGUGUAGAGGUGAAAUUCGUAGAUAUUCGGAAGAACACCAGUGGCGAAGGCGACACACUGGCUCAUUACUGACGCUGAGGCGCGAAAGCGUGGGGAGCAAACAGGAUUAGAAACCCCUGUAGUCC
rnacentral:rRNA from 1 species